AUACGGAGGAUCCGAGCGUUAUCCGGAUUUAUUGGGUUUAAAGGGUGCGCAGGCGGCCAUUUAAGUCAGCGGUUAAAUCGUGGGGCUCAACCCCAUUCUGCCGUUGAUACUGGGUGGCUUGAUUGCGGUCGAGGUUGGCGGAAUUCGUUGUGUAGCGGUGAAAUGCAUAGAUAUGACGAAGAACACCGAUUGCGUAGGCGUCGUACCAGACCGAAAAUGACGCUCAUGCACGAAAGGGCGGGGAUCGAACAGGAUUAGAUUCCCUGGUAGUCCACGCCGUAAACGAUGAAUACUAGGUGUUGGGGAGCAAGGCUCCGCAGUGCCGCAGCCAACGCAAUAAGUAUUCCCCCGGGGGAGUACGUUCGCAAGAAUGAAACUCAAAGGAAUUGACGGGG
rnacentral:rRNA from 1 species